rnacentral:misc_RNA from 1 species
GUAGGGGAACCUGCGGCUGGAUCACCUCCUUUCUAAGGAAGCUGUGGAAUUGGUAAGACGCCUAACUUGAUUAGGAUGAACCUUCCCGUGCUUUUUAGAACAAUAGAUGGCACCAGUCAGGUGACCAUCGAAACGCAAUACGCCGCGAGAGACUUUUGUCCUUUCGGUAUGGCGCGAGCCGCCGUCUACGUUUCUCUUUCUUCAAAAGACAAGGACCACGCUUUGGUCGUUUGGGUGUCUGUUGGCGUCUGGCGGUCUUCGUGCUGUUCCAACCCUUAUGGGCCCGUAGCUCAGUUGGUUAGAGCACACGCUUGAUAAGCGUGGGGUCGGUAGUUCGAGUCUACCCGGGCCCACCAUGUUUUGUCCUCGCGGCAAUGACGCAGCCUUUGGCUGCUUGCCUGCGGACGGCGCGCCGAACGAUCGGCGACGGGCUUGCGCCCUGCAAGGGUGCGCGACCGGAUGGUUGGUUUUAGGUUUGGAACGAAUGGUUUAAGCGUUGACGGAUCUCUUGCUUCGGUGGGAGGUGCGAACUUGAAUGGGGCUGUAGCUCAGCUGGGAGAGCACCUGCUUUGCAAGCAGGGGGUCAGCGGUUCGAUCCCGCUCAGCUCCACCAAGGUUUUGGUGUUGAUGCGAGUGGAUAUACAGACCGACAGGUCGUCGCCGAUUGUUCGGCGCGCCAUCGCAGGCCAGCCCGAAGGGCGUUCGGCCGUGAGGUCGGAAAACAUCCUUGUCUUUGAAGAAAUAAAAGUUUGCAUCACUUCGAUGAAGUGCUGCCUGUUCUGCAAAAAUUGUGAAGAGAAGAUUGAUCUGGAGGCUUCCAGGUAUGGGUUUUACCCAUGUCCGAGCCCUUUCCCGAUGAACCCUUUGAAGGCCUAGCCGGCCCGAGAUUGGUGAGGGAUUGGAGGUAGGAAGGAAGCUUGUCACUCUGGAUCGUUCGUUGUUCGUUGUCCUUUUGGGCAUCGUCUGAUGAAUGGUCGGAUUACCGUUGCCUGACCGCGCGGUACCGGAUUUGAUCUCGAGAAGCUGGUCUUAAGAUAGACCGCAAGUGAGCUGCUCGGCGUAGCUCCAAUAAAGCGGAUCUAUCGAACACGUCGAUGGCAUCAUGACGACCUGGUUGUAAAAGGUAACCGGGUUUGCUUCCUUUGGAAGCUAGAUGGUGAGCAUUGGCAAUGAGAACGAUUAAGUGUCGUAAGGGCAUUUGGUGGAUGCCUUGGCAUGCACAGGCGAUGAAGGACGUGAUACGCUGCGAAAAGCCGUGGGGAGCUGCGAAUGAGCUUUGAUCCAUG